rnacentral:rRNA from 1 species
AGUGAACGUUGGCGGCGUGCCUAACACAUGCACGUCGAACGAUACCCGGGUAGCUUGCUAUUCGGGAAGAGUGGCGAACGGGUGAGUAAUACUGGGGUAAUCUACCCUGGAGCGGGGCACAACUUCGAGAAAUCGGGGCUAAUUCCCCAUACGCUCCACUGUACAUAAAGUGCAGAGGAGGAAAGGUGGCCUCUGCUUGCAAGCUACCGCUCUGGGAUGAGCUCCUGGCCUAUCAGCUUGUUGGUGAGGUAACGGCUCACCAAGGCAUAGACGGGUAGCCGGCCUGAGAGGGUGAUCGGCCACACGGGCACUGCGACACGGGCCCGACUCCUACGGGAGGCAGCAGUCUAGAAAAUUGCGCAAUGGGCGCAAGCCUGACGCAGCGACGCCGCGUGCGGGAUGAAGUCCUUCGGGAUGUAAACCGCUGUCCCGGGAGACGAUGGGGCGUAUACCCAAUACGUAUGCGCUUUGACGGUAUCCCGGAAGAAAGCACCGGCUAACUACGUGCCAGCAGCCGCGGUAAUACGUAGGGUGCAAGCGUUGCCCGGAUUCACUGGGCGUAAAGGGUGCGUAGGCGGAUUGGUAAGUCUGCUGUGAAAUCUCCGGGCUCAACCCGGAAACUGCGGUCGAUACUGCCGGUCUAGAGGACAGAAGAGGAGAGCGGAACUCCUGGUGUAGCGGUAAAAUGCGUGGAUAUCAGGAGGAAGGCCGAUGGCGAAGGCAGCUCUCUGGGAUGUUCCUGACGCUGAUGCACGAAAGCUAGGGUAGCAAACCGGAUUAGAUACCCGGGUAGUCCUAGCCGUAAACGAUGUACACUAGGUAUUGGCAUCAGUCAGUGCCGGAGCUAACGCAUUAAGUGUACCGCCUGGGGACUACGGCCGCAAGGCUA